rnacentral:misc_RNA from 1 species
GUGCACCAGUUUGCUACAGCUGUUUGUAUUGUUGUAAACCCCUGAAGUUUAUUAGGCAAAGGAAUAAUCUUUGAUGAUGAAAUGAUCAAGAAGAUAAGGGAUAGAAGUCAAAAUGAAUGGAGAGACAAAUUUUUACAGAAAAACGCUUCGCAGUUUUCCUAUGGCCAGAUCUACAACACCUCAUCCCAUAUUUUCUAGCAAGAUUUUGAAAGAUACAGCAACAAUUUGCCAAAUGUUUAAAUCUUAGCAUAAACAACUCUCCGUCAACCCACCUGUGGGGAGAAUACAUCCCCGCCUUAAUCUUGCUAUAAACAAAACUUAUAGUUUCCCUUUCUUCUCUUCCCUUUUUCCCCAAGGAAGACCGUCAUUUUUCACAAUUCCCAGUUUCCACAAAUUUAAAAUCAAUUACACAGAAAAUCCUAAAUUUCAAAGGAUUUCAAGGCACCAUAAAAUAGAAUAGUGCUAAGACCAAGAUCGUACAAGUUGUCAAAAUGAAAAGAAUGCAUUGCAAUGAUGGAUUAUUCCAGUAGGAGAGAAAAUACCUGAUGGAGACGAUAAAUUGUCCCACAAAGCAAACUUGAGCACAAUGAAAAGAUCUUAAAGUUCCAAAUGUAUUGAUAUGGUGGUGUGGGAAGACUACUGCACAAAUAUUCAAAGUGGAAGAUCAUAAAAAUGGACUAGCUGACACAAUGAACAUCUAGGGAAACUGCAAAAGAGAAUACCUCCAAAGCUAAGAACUUUGGAAUCCCAGAAUUAACGGUAAUUCCUAACUGUCCUCCUAACCAAAUUAUCAAAUAACAGAAAUCAGCACCAUUUUUCCUGUAAAAGCAGCACAAAAAGCUAAAAAUUCAAUCCUUGCAUUGGAGACUAGAAGAUAUACCCUCUCAUUCAUCUCUCUCUCCAUUUUUCAUUUAAAAAGUUUUCUAAAGUAAUAGCAUAGUUUUAUCACAACAUAGUAUUUGUAACUCCAUACCCACAAACAAAUAGUUUGUGCUGUUAGUCAGCUCCAGCCCCAGAACAUAAAAGCAAGGUGGAGUACUAGAGCUGUGCCUGUGGGACAAAGUAAAGAGAAGAAAUCAAAUUAAUCAGUAACAUAUGAAUAUAUAAGUGAGGUAAACUAAACGGAGAUUACAUGCGCUCAAGCUUUUUUUUUGGUUCAGGAAGGAUUGCGUCUGCCACCAGUAACAAAUGCUGUGUUGUAUCUAAAGCAGAUUCAAUAUGCAAAAUCAAACAAUAAGAAGAUGAAUUUUCGUUUCUCCAUCUCGUGGCUCACUUUCAAUAGCAUAUUGAAACAAUCAAACAAAUAAAGGAGUUAAAUUUACCCACCACAAGGAAAAUGGAAAGCAGAUCCUAUUUAGCAAUGACCUUGAUCUCAUACGGAUUCCAUGACGUGGGGCCUCCAAAUAUUGGGGAUGAUUGUUGGCCAAGUGACGAGAUCGACGAUGGCUACUGUGAAAAAUUAGACCGAUGAAAACGAAAAAAAAUUAGGGUUUGUCUGCAACGGAUAAGAGAAAUUAGCGAUGGAGGAGCAAGACCGGCGUCAAUUACUGCAGCUAUUCAAGAGCAAGUCAGGAAUAAAAUUGCGGAGAGCUGUUUUGAGUUUCUUGUCAACGACGAAACGAC